GUGAGGAAUUUUCCGCAAUGGGCGAAAGCCUGACGGAGCAAUGCCGCGUGAAGGAUGAAGGCCUAUGGGUUGUAAACUUCUUUUCUCAGAAAAGAAUUAUGACGGUAUCUGAGGAAUAAGCAUCGGCUAACUCUGUGCCAGCAGCCGCGGUAAGACAGAGGAUGCAAGAGUUAUCCGGAAUGAUUGGGCGUAAAGCGUCUGUAGGUUGUUUAAAAAGUAUUCUGUCAAAGAUUAGGGCUUAACCCUAGAUAGGCAGAAUAAACUUUUAAGCUAGAGUUUGGUAGAGGCAGAGGGAAUUCCCGGUGGAGCGGUGAAAUGCGUAGAUAUCGGGAGGAACACCAAAGGCGAAGGCACUCUGCUGGGCCAAUACUAACACUGAGAGACGAAAGCGAGGGGAGCAAAUGGGAUUAGAAACCCUUGUAGUCC
rnacentral:rRNA from 1 species